CCCAAACCUUACCUUCAACCGAGGUCCAGGAUUGCAGGAGCGUACUUAGUCGAGUACUAAAUGUUCCUGAGUAUUCCGGUCGUGUGAGGGGUAAGGGUUUUGGUGUGACUCCGUCGUCAUUUUAUAAAAAACCAAAAACAAAAAAUCCUACCAACAAAGAGGUGAUGGAGACCUUGGCGGAGUUAAGGGCACAAGUACUCGAACUGCAAAAGGAGAAUGCAAGGUAUAGAGAGGAAAGGUGUGGUUCCGAGGCAAAAGAUACUAGUGACCGAGCUAGUAUCAAUUGUCAACCGAAAUUUCCCGAGGGCAUUACACCUUGUCAGCUGUAUCUAUCGUCACCAACUUAUCGCAUAGUUGGCAAGGGAAAAGUGCACAACACUUCGGGUGAAUUACUUCACCAUAAUCCCCUCCCGGUGGGAUAUAUGAAAGUUUCGGUUGACCUUGUAUUAGAUACCGACGCGCUUCUACCAUUACCUGACGUUGUUUCAGAGACAACGUUGAUGCGAGAUGCAGUCGGAUCCUUUGUUGGAUGACCGUCAGAUCUAAUUUUCCCAGAUGCCGAGACUCCUACAAGACCCACACAUAAAGCUGGUAAAGGGAUUUCAAGACGCAUCGAGUCGGUUGCAUCUCAAAAAGAGGU